rnacentral:rRNA from 1 species
UUGAUCCUGGCUCAGAAUCAACGCUGGCGGCGUGCCUAACACAUGCAAGUCGAACGCGAAAGCCCCGCAAGGGGUUAGUAGAGUGGCAAACGGGUGAGUUACACGUGGGUGACCUGCCUUCGAGUGGGGGAUAACGUCCCGAAAGGGACUCUAAUACCGCAUGACAUCCUGCUUUUGGAAAAGCGGAGAUCAAAGCUGGUGAUCGUAAGACCUGGCGCUUGAAGAGGGGCCCGCGCCUGAUUAGCUAGUUGGUGGGGUAACGGCCUACCAAGGCGACGAUCAGUAUCCGGCCUGAGAGGUCGGACGGACACACUGGGACUGAGACACGGCCCAGACUCCUACGGGAGGCUGCAGUGGGGAAUUGUUCGCAAUGGGCGCAAGCCUGACGACGCAACGCCGUGUGGAGGACGAAGAUCUUCGGGUCGUAAACUCCUGUCGAGUGGGAAGAAUGCUUCGGGGGUGAAUACCCUUCGGAAUUGACGGUACCACUAAAGGAAGCUCCGGCUAACUCCGUGCCAGCAGCCGCGGUAAUAAGGU